AGCGCGAUUUCCCGCGUGCGGCUGCGCGGUGAUGGCCGCCCGGGAUCUUCCGUGGCCGCGGGCCGGGGGUCGGUGGAGCUCGCCCCGGAUGGUCGCCUGCCCUGGAGGCUCCGGUGGGCCGCUUCCGGCGCUCCAGGUUCCCCCGGAAGAGGGGACGUUUCCUGAGCUUCAUUCACCGUAACCGGCCGCCGGCCUCUCCUACACACACGGUGGACGGGGUGUUCGUGGUCCUUCCAGCUCUGCCUCCCGCUGCCCCUGUGCCGGGGCCUGCAGGGACACCACCGUGGAAAUGUCACCUCCCCCCACGUCUCCGACGCUCCCUUACCUGUCCGCUGCGGAAUCUCUCGUCUUCCGACGAAAAUCUUCACAAGCACCUUCCCUCUCAGUACAGCACCUUCCAAAUUCUCGUCUUCUCACGAAAUAUUAGCAACAAUGAACAGGUCGUGAAGG